UGUUCGAGCAAUUAUCCCGCCUCACCCGAACUGGUCUAACUCUAAAAUCCAAACCCUAGCCUUGCGCCGCCACCACCUUCCUCUCCCCUUCCCUCGAAACACCCCAAGCACCAGAUCCACCCCGAGCCCAUCGAUCCGCCGCCCACCUUCGCCCGGCUAAGCAUUCUUCGUCGAUGUCGUCUUCGAUUCGUCGUCCAUCUUUAGGUCGGGGAUGCAUCACGCGCUCCAUCCCCAGGUGACCCGCGGUGGCGGUGCCAUCCACUCCUGACCCUUCGAGAUCUGCAGGUUCUCCACCUUCCCACCUUCUGGCGGCGAUUCCCGCGACGUGGUCUGGGGCGGGGCGGCUGGGUGGCCAUGGAAGGUGACGAGACGAGGUGGGAAAGGGGGGCGCUGAGCACCAGAACUGCAACCCAAACCUCCCCGCAUCUGGAUCCGGCCGCCCGUGUCCAGGAACAUUCCCCCCCAUCUCGUUUCCCUCCUAUAGGCUCCUGGUUUAGCUAUUUCUUCCCUUUUAACCGUCCGUCUCUGCAUGUUCCUUCCAGAUAAUGAACCGCAUCGGCAGGUGGUGGAGGUGAAAUGAGAUGAGGAAGGCGAUUGGAGAGCACCACCAGCAUUUACUAGUGUUGAGAUCCAUCUCCGCAGGUUGUUGAAUGGUUUAUAGAGGUGAGAUCCAUCUCUUUGUAUGAAGUUUUACUGAUUUAACUUUGUAGCGAAGCACCAAUGCCGAGCUUGUACCCUAGGAGCCUUCUGUUAGGAGUUGCAGGAACAGUUCCUCCUCCCUUCCCCCGUUUGUUUUAUAAUCUACUAGCUAUGGUUCCCUUAUAGCACUGCACUUAUACUCGGAAUUAGUAGCAGAUCACCAGAAUUGUGAGUUUGUUUUCUGCUGUGUCUGAUUCGAGUUCAUGAGGUAAUCAAAAAGCUGCUACCUGUCAUAGUUUUACACUAUGUUGUUGAGGAAAAUAUAGUACGAGGCUGUCUGAUUGGUCCUUUUUGGUUCUAAUUGUCUCGAUAUAGUACUUUGUAAUGCUGCUGGUCCAAUUCUCUGGAUAUAGUAUGAGCUACUUAGCAAAUUGAAUAUAUACUUGUCAGUUCAUCUUGCAAUUCAUAAUGUGUUCAUACGAGUAUAUGCUCUUGUUUCUAAUACCAGCUCCUCUUCCUUGUAAUUGACUGAUUAAGAAUACAGAUAGCUAUAGUUUACAUUGUCUUAGUGUUAAAUACUGCUAGGAGUACUGAAUGUGUGUGCUCAAAUUGAGCUGUACAGGACAAGCAAGUUCUGCUUUGUAGUACUUCAAAUUGAGCUGAAAUGAAUUCUAAAAAAAGUUUAAGCUAAAGUGUGUGCUUGUUUAAUUACUUCUUGCUUGUAGCACUGCUUUGUAUUAUUCUCCAAGUAACAUGGUUUGCAUCCAUGACAUGCAUUCUCCAAGUAACAUGGUUGUACCCUAAUAUGCAACCUUUUAAUAGGCAGUUCUGUUGGCAUUUCAUUGGUAUUUCUUAAUCGUGUUUACUCACAUUAAUGGUUUGUCUUGACAGAGCUACAAGAUGUUCUUCCUGUGAUCAUCACCCAAUUGAGAGCACCUGAACAUGAUCGCUAAAGAGAUGCAGGUGGCGUUCUUGAAGAUCUUGUUCCCGUCCUGUAGAGAAUUUUGAAGAACAACCUGAUCAUAGGCUCUGCCAGUAGUAGUGAUCUAUGCCUGACCCGACCGCUACAAGGUCAUGGUUUUCUAUGACGACCAUGUUUGGAUUCUUUUCUUAGACCUUCUGUGUAUUGUAUAUUUAAUUUUGGUGGUCAUCUGUGAAAAUGUACGCACAUGUAUAUUCUUAUUUUGGCCGUCAUUUGUGAAAAUAUGCUAGUAUAUUAAUUGGGCUGUGCGUACCGAAA